ACUCGUCACCGACAUACAGUGCCUCUCGUACGAAGAUAAAAAGUGUUAGAUGCUACAGGCACAAGAUCACCGCAGGCACACAACGUCACUCAUGAGGGAUUACUAAUCAGACCCUCAGAAGGCCGUCAAGAGUGCAUGCCACAGGCACAAGCUCGACGUCGGCACACAAUGUCUCUCAUAUGAAGACAAGAAGUACUAGAUGUCGUAGGC
rnacentral:lncRNA from 1 species